GGACGGCAGCGGCGCCGACGCGGGCACAGUUCAGGGGGCCGGCCCGGGGGCCGAUAACACAGGAGCCCGGACAGUUCAGGGGGCCGGCCGUGAGGGAGGCAAUGGCGGCGACUCAGGCGAAGGCGGUCCGGGGGCCGCCCACGACGGCGAUGUCGCCUGGCCAGUGGCCUGGAAAGUGGCCAGUCAGCUGCAGACCCCGACAGGGUAGGACCAGGCGACGCUGAAGACUCGGAGGCUGGACCAGGCGACGCUGAAGACUCGGAGGCUGGACCAGGCGGGGCUGAAGACUCGGAGGCUGGACCAGGCGGGGCUGAAGACUCGGAGGGUGCUGCAGGCGUGGCUGAUGAGGCCGCAGGUGACGGCGAGGAAGCCGGAGACGAAGAGGCCGCAGGUGACGGCGAGGAAGCCGGAGACGAAGAGGCCGCAGGUGACAGCGAGGAAGCCGGAGACGAAGAGGCCGCAGGUGACGGCGAGGAAGCCGGAGACGAAGGCACUGCAGCUGGCGGCGUAGAUGGUGAGGCUGCCGCUGGCGUGGAUGGUGAAGCUGCAGCUGGCGGCGGCGUGGAAGCCGGAGGCG
ensembl:lncRNA